CUUGAUAUUGGUCGUCUCUUUCCAGGACACAGACAGUGAUGCGGAUACCAUCAUUCUGGAAUUGCCCGUUCCUUCUGCACCCUCAGGAGCCCAAGAUGUUCCAGAGCUAGAGAGGACUGAGUGUGUAUUUCUAACCAGAAAAUCAUUACGGAUCAGUUCAUCUUCAGAUGACAGCUUUGCAGCAGAAUCUAGCAGCAUUGAAAACAGUGACGACGAUUUUGUGCCAGAUUCACAAGAAUCUGACUGUUCUGAGGAAUCUCAAGAGGCGAAAAGCUCAUCUCCCAAUGUGACCCUAGACAGCAGCGAUGAUAAUACAUCUUCAAUGAUUGCAACCCAACAGUCUUCCUCUCUUGAAAGUAAGGAGACAUCAACUCAGCCAGUAAAUGAUGAAAGUAGUGAUGUUUCAGUAAUGAAGUUGAAGAAGUCUGCAUAUGGCCAAAGGGUGUACAACAAAAAGCAGUAUUGCUUUUCCUGCCAGAAACCAUUCAGCAAAAUGGCAAGGCACUUGGCCCAAGUGCAUAAGAAUGAGAUUGAGGGGGCAAGAGCACUUUCUUUUCCAAAGGGGUCUAAAGAACGAAAGUUUAAUCUA
rnacentral:lncRNA from 1 species